rnacentral:misc_RNA from 1 species
UUGUUUUGAUUAUUUAUUAUGACGUUCAGGACACUGAUGUUUGUAAAGGCCCGGAGGCCACAGUUCACAGAGGUUGGUUGGAUAAGCCCGGAGGCGUUCACUAAUGAUCCUUCCGCAGGUUCACCUACGGAAA